GCUCCUGCCCUUCUUGUGGAGGUUUGUGCCUCUGACCCAGGCUCACUGUGGUGCUGAUGGAGCUGAGCCCUUCCUGGGCUUGCUGCGCUGUUGUGGGACUGUUCUCAACAUGCAACUGCUUUCUGUAAAGGUAACUCAGCUUCCUCUGAGCUCUGGGUUGUCCUGCAGUGCAGACACAUUCCCUGGGAGAGGUCCUAAUGGCUCAGAAGUGGCAGUGUUAUUUCAUCAAGAGAUGGAUUUUACUCUUAAUUAGCCAACAUGCCACCAGGGAUACUUCAGUCAUGGGUGUGAAAAAGCCUCCAGCAAAAGAUUGUUCCGUGGGAUUAAAAAAAAUAAUGUAUCAGUGACUUGGGGAUAAUUGGCAGCUUCGGUGAUGGAGCUAGAUGCUUCUGUGGACAGAAGGGUUUGACCAGCUGAAUUCAUGGCAAUAUUUUUCCCAAAACAGUA